GCCUGCGGUCAUUCCUCUUUGGUCUGAGAUUUCAUCAGCUAAGCAGUGUUAGGUCUAGUUAAUACUUAGAUGGGAGCCCUUUAAGGAAAAUCUGAGCUACAGGAA
ensembl:rRNA 5S_rRNA 5S ribosomal RNA